rnacentral:rRNA from 1 species
GAUGAACGCUGACAGAAUGCUUAACACAUGCAAGUCUUUGGUGAAGCUGUGCUUGCACAGCCUAGCCAAGGCGGACGGGUGAGUAACGCGUAAGGAACUUGCCCUGCAGUCAGGGAUAACAGACGGAAACGACUGAUAAGACCUGGUAAAGUCAGGCGGACUCAUGUCCAGCCUGAUGAAAAGAGAUGCUGCAGGAGAGCCUUGCGUCCUAUUAGCUUGUUGGUGGGGUAACGGCCCACCAAGGCAAUGAUAGGUAGCCGGCCUGAGAGGGUGGACGGCCAAAAGGGGACUGGGAUACGGCCCUUACUACUACGGGAGGAAGCAGUGGGGAAUAUUGGACAAUGGGGGCAACCCUGAUCCAGCAAUUCUGUGUGCACGAUGAAGGUUUUCGGAUUGUAAAGUGCUUUCAGCAGGGAAGAAAAAAAUGACGGUACCUGCAGAAGAAGCGACGGCUAAAUACGUG